GAAGGCAUUUUUACGGCUGUCA
rnacentral:miRNA from 1 species